rnacentral:snRNA from 12 species
AUACUUACCUGGCAGGGGAGAUACCAUGAUCACGAAGGUGGUUUUCCCAGGGCGAGGCUUAUCCAUUGCACUCCAUUCGUGGAUGAAUCUUGCAAAAAGUUACUGUGGCUGAGUUCAAAAAGUGUAUUGCCUUUGUUCUCCUCUAGGAUUCUGAUGGACUCUUGU